rnacentral:rRNA from 1 species
UGGAAUUCCUGGUGUAGCGGUGAAAUGCGCAGAUAUCAGGAGGAACACCGAUGGCGAAGGCAGGUCUCUGGGCAUUAACUGACGCUGAGGAGCGAAAGCAUGGGGAGCGAACAGGAUUAGAUACCCUGGUAGUCCAUGCCGUAAACGUUGGGCACUAGGUGUGGGGGACAUUCCACGUUUUCCGCGCCGUAGCUAACGCAUUAAGUGCCCCGCCUGGGGAGUACGGCCGCAAGGCUAAAACUCAAAGGAAUUGACGGGGGCCCGCACAAGCGGCGGAGCAUGCGGAUUAAUUCGAUGCAACGCGAAGAACCUUACCAAGGCUUGACAUGGGCCAGACCGCCGCAGAAAUGUGGUUUCCCCUUUGGGGCUGGUUCACAGGUGGUGCAUGGUUGUCGUCAGCUCGUGUCGUGAGAUGUUGGGUUAAGUCCCGCAACGAGCGCAACCCUCGUUCUAUGUUGCCAGCACGUGAUGGUGGGGACUCAUAGGAGACUGCCGGGGUCAACUCGGAGGAAGGUGGGGACGACGUCAAAUCAUCAUGCCCCUUAUGUCUUGGGCUUCACGCAUGCUACAAUGGCCGGUACAAAGGGUUGCGAUACUGUGAGGUGGAGCUAAUCCCAAAAAGCCGGUCUCAGUUCGGAUUGGGGUCUGCAACUCGACCCCAUGAAGUCGGAGUCGCUAGUAAUCGCAGAUCAGCAACGCUGCGGUGAAUACGUUCCCGGGCCUUGUACACACCGCCCGUCAAGUCACGAAAGUUGGUAACACCCGAAGCCGGUGGCCUAACCCCUUGUGGGAGGGAGCUG